CCUCUUUAAAUCUUUCCAGGUCUGUUCUCUUGGUCUUGCUAUUCUGAGCUCCAGCUGAUACACCCCUCCUCCACCAGCUGGCCCAGGUGGGGAAGGCGAGGCCAGCUCUCUCCAGACCUUGUGUGCAUUGGGGAAACCAGGUGGACUCUAGGUUGAAGCUGAGCUUCUGGGUUUGGACUUCCAGGACCUGUUUAUUUGCCACCACCAGUCUGCAUGCAACACUGACCAUCUCAUUUAACCACGGGAUGCAAGUGUUCACCAAUGAUAAAGUUGUCCUGGCUGAAACACCUGGUACCAGCUUCUACAUAGACAUCAACCGUCAUCCCGUCAUCCCUCCUGAACCCCACCAUGGCACCCCUGUUCAGCAGGAAGUAGUAAGAAAG